AUGAGGACAAACUGGAUAUUGGAAUGUACCUUUAUUUACAUUGUUUUUGGAUGCUUGUGGACGAGCGUGGCUGCCUCUGAGGUCACGUGCUGCAAGGUGGUUUUCAAUAACCGCUCUGCUGCCUACAAAUUAAACGAGACCCCUGAAGCCAACUGUUCCACGAGGUGGAUCUUAAAAAAACUGGUGAUCGUUGACGAAACUGGAGAUCAGGAUCCAAAGAUCGUCCAGUACCGCGAGCAGAAGAAACUGAUCCUAAAUUCUGAUGAGUUAGACUUGUCCUACAACAUGGAGUGCCCACAUAGUGGGGUGUCCCUGAAUCUUAAUUGUACAGAUCCCUGUUUACCUGAGGACGAUGACAAUAAAGCGGGUCUGUUGCAUUUGACAAUUGUGGCAAUCAUUACAGCCAUGUGCCUUCCCGUCUUCCUUGUGAUCACGUGCCUUUGUAAGAAAAGAAAGAAAAUAACGUCUCCAUCACAGAACAUAAACCAAGAAAAUGCAGGGGAAGGAGUGGCAGAUACAGAGAGUGAGGAGAUGCUGUGACACUGUCAUCACAUAAGUGUCUGUGUUCAGACCCAUACGCCAUCCAGUUAAGCUGUGAUUUUCAGAAGACUGAUUGUGUAUGUACACAGACUGUGUUGUGUUGAUUUUGAUGAAGCUUCUCUGUCACUAGUCGGUUUACAUGCGCUUCCUAAUCUGAUUAUAAACAAUUUACUGCAGUUAUCUGAUUAUUCGAGUAGACUGUAAACAGCAUACCGAUAUCUUAGAUUGGAAUAAGGAAUAAGAUUGGAGUAUUUUUGAGUCUUGAUGUGUGAACAAAAACACAGCAUGAUUUAUUUCCUGUUAUGCUCAAAGCACACCUAUGAUUAAUUAAGAGAAUUUGUACAUGCGCACAAGUUACACUUUUGCCGUCCUCGGCGUUCCUAAACACACACCGCCCUAAAUUAAUCUGUGCGCGAUUGAUGGCUCACCUAUAGAUCACUAAAAAUGGGCCCAAAUCUGCUUUCCCACUUUAAUGUACAUGUGUUGAUCAGAUUACUGACGUUCUGCAGUAAUCGGAUUAUGAAGUUCAUGUAAACAAAUGACCUAAUUUAAACUAUGACAAAGGCUUCCAAAGGGCCUUUUGAGGUUUAGGUCAUUUUAUUUUUUUAAAAUAUUAAAGCGUCAUACAUCAUAGCAUUUGAAUGUGUUUGUUAUUCAAGCUGUGCCUAAAUGCUUGGUAAUUUUUUUUACCAUAUGUAAAAGCAUAUAGUUGCCUGUCUCUCAACACUGAUGCUGCAUUCGAUAGUGAUCUUGGAUUUGGUUGCAUUCAAAAAACUGGACUUUUCAGACCUGAGAUUUUAGAGUAGUCAUUUACUUUAGGCUCAAUAUGAAAGGAGUGGUGUGUCAAAUAUUAAAACUUUUUUGUCGGUUUCCUGAACAGGAAUUGCAUUUCAAUGAAAAAAUUCUGUUGAAAUUGCUGUCUAGUCUGAAUCCCUGUCUAAAAAACGUGUGUGUGUUCUAAGCUUACCUAUUAAGUUCUUAAUUUAAACGCACACAACAAAUACCGAAAACAUUCCCUCAAAACGGCUCCUCUGAUUUUGGUUCCUAUUGAAGAUUUUUUUCUUUUUCUAAACAGAGUAAAAAGUGUUUUCACUGCUAGUAAAGCAUUCUAACAUCAUCAGAACAAUCUCAUAUCUAAAUCUGCAUUUUUCCCUUCAAAAGAAAUAGAGAGGUAAUGCUACUUACCUAGCAUUUUCUUAAUUAUGUAAAAGCUUUUGGACAGGUUGUGAUCAUUAAUAGAAUGCAAAAAGCAUAUUGAAGCAUUAUAUAUUGUUUAUAAUGAUUUGCUGAGUGACAUCAGUCAUCAGUCCAGCGUGCAAGCUGUCUACUAUAUGUAAAUAAUGUCUGUUAGUGACUCAUUGUGAGCUGAUUUUAUCACUUGCAGUGUCAGGUGAUGUGUCACACCCUCAACAAACCUACAUUAUGUCAGUGUUUGGAAAUGCAGCCUUCUCGUCUUACCUAUGCUAGUAACAAUUUUAACAACUGCAGAAAAAGUAAAGAUGCAUUGGAUGUUAUUAGCAUAGCCUUUCCUUACAAUAGAAACUGCAUUUAAAAUACAUUUAGGAUAUAUUUAGAAAAAUUAAUAUUGGAAUGAAUAUAUCUUUGUUCUGGAAGCAAGCUUUUCGAAAUCUGACUAGAUACAUAAUUCCAGUAUUCUUAAUAUGUAUUUCCAAUACUGUUUAUUUUUCUUUUUUUUAAUGUAACAACUAUCUUUGAUGCCUUUGUGAUUUAUUAUCUGAAUCUGUUUUUUCUGCACUUAAAAAAAAAGAAUUAACCAAUAGAAAUGUGCCAAAAUGGCUUGGAAUAAAACCUGUUACAAUGUCUUUUUACUGGAACA
rnacentral:lncRNA from 1 species